GUAGGUACCGAGCGUUAUCCGGAUUUACUGGGCGUAAAGCGCGUUCAGGCGGUUUGGCAAGUCGGGCAUGAAAUCUCUCGGCUCAUCCGGGGGAGGUUGUCCGAUACUGCUGGACUUGAGGGCAGUAGAGGGUGGUGGAAUUCCGGGUGUAGUGGUGAAAUGCGUAGAUAUCCGGAGGAACACCAGUGGCGAAAGCGGCCACCUGGACUGUACCUGACGCUCAAACGCGAAAGCUAGGGGAGCGAACGGGAUUAGAAACCCCGGUAGUCCUAGCUAUAAACGAUGUUGACUAGGUGUCGACGGUCUAAACCCCGCCGGUGCCGGAGCAAACGCAUUAAGUCAACCGCCUGGGGACUACGGCCGCAAGGUUA
rnacentral:rRNA from 1 species